rnacentral:rRNA from 1 species
CAGCCGCGGUAAUACGAGGGGGGCGAGCGUUGUUCGGAAUUAUUGGGCGUAAAGGGUGCGUAGGCGGUUUGAUAAGUCAUCUGUGAAAUCUCUGGGCUCAACCCAGAGUCUGCAGGCGAAACUGUCGGGCUUGAGUAUGGGAGAGGUGAGUGGAAUUUCCGGUGUAGCGGUGAAAUGCGUAGAUAUCGGAAGGAACACCUGUGGCGAAAGCGGCUCACUGGACCAUUACUGACGCUGAUGCACGAAAGCUAGGGGAGCAAACAGGAUUAGAUACCCUGGUAGUCCUAGCCCUAAACGAUGAUUGCUUGAUGUGGAGGGUACCCAAUCCUUCCGUGUCGAAGCUAACGCGAUAA